GAGUUUGAUUAUGGCUCAGGAUUAACGCUGGCGGUACGUCUAAUACAUGCAAGUCGAACGAAGUUAUUGGUGCUUGCACUAAUAACCUAGUGGCGAACGGGUGAGUAACACGUGGGUAAUCUGCCCUUAAGUUGGGAAUAACAUUCGGAAACGGAUGCUAAUUCCGAAUAACAGAUCUGGAGGCAUCUCUAGAUUUUGAAAGGAGCCUUUAAAGCUUCGCUUGAGGAGGAGCCCGCGGCGCAUUAGCUAGUUGGUGAGGUAACGGCCCACCAAGGCAAUGAUGCGUAGCCGGACUGAGAGGUUGAACGGCCACAUUGGGACUGAGAACGGCCCAAACUCCUACGGGAGGCAGCAGUAGAGAAUCUUCGGCAAUGGGGGCAACCCUGACCGAGCGAUACCGCGUGAAUGAAGAAUUACUUUUAGUAUGUAAAGUUCUUUUAUUUAGGAGAAACGAUAGGUAGAGGAAAUGCUACCUAGAUGAUAGUACUGAAUGAAUAAGCCCCGGC
rnacentral:rRNA from 1 species